UGACUCAAUGUAAAACCUUAUGAAGCGAGGUCAGGUCUCUGAAUUCUGUUUUGAUGAGCAUUUAUAGUACCACCACAGAAUUGGUGGUCUCUUAUUAAGCAUUGUCUUUUUUUCCACAAAGAGAUGAGUCCCUUGCCCACGACCCUAAAAGGUUUCAGUUUUGUUUUCUUGCUGAUCUCAUGGAACACAUACAUUUCUUUCGGAAAUGGAGCCCCACGUCGCCUUGAUUUCUGGCUGGGAUGUCGAGCUGUGAUACCAUGUCAACGUUACAGCACUAAGUCAAACUCUUUCAGAUGGUUUUUCAAGAAAAAUGAACAACAUAGAGAAAUCAGAUUAUUUUUUCAAGACAGGAGUGGAGUUAAACACUACGGUCCUUUGCAUAACAAAGAAGUUAUUUUAGGUAAUCAGUCCUUGGUUAUCAAUCAUUUUACUGAGGAAGAUGAGGGCACGUAUCGGUGUGAAACUUGUUAUAAAGAAAACUGCAACAGUGAACAGCAGAGAGUGAAGAAAGUGAUUCUGAUGGAAACUCAGGAGACAUUUAACAUCACUGCAGGCAGCAGCUUCACUAACGCAUGUUCAGAUGAAUCAUCUUAUCUAAUAAAAUGGACUUUUGAAGCAAGCUUUGAAGCAGCUGCUCUCGGGGAAAAAGCGCAGACCCCAGAAAUGAUCAAUGAGACUCGCAACAACAUGAUACAUAUUGUAAAUGUCAAAAGUUCACAUGAUGGGAUUUAUACCUGCUGGGCAAGUCGCUGUGGAAGUCCAAGUCAGAAACUGCGUACUAUCAACUUAAACGUCAUAACAGCACUUCAAAUCUGGUGACAGCUGGGGAAACAGAACCAAGGACUGGAAAUCCAUCUGGGUCCUUAACUCAGAACACAAGUCAGAUAAUGGAUGAAAAUACUACAGUUAUCGGAAGUAAUGUGCUACUAUCUACCUUGAACACAACAGGUGGGUAUUUGCUGUACAUUUGUCUUCAACAAAUCUGGCCUCAAUAAAAGGAAUAAUAAUAUAUGUUUGUGUUUUUGAAUUGAACAGGUGUAUCUACAGAGCCUGCAAAUCUAAAUAAAGUUAUUUGUGGGGUAUCAGUGUCCCUCACAUGUUUCAUUUUGAUAGCACUAUUAAUUUUUAGUUUGAGAUCAAGAUUACGAGCAGGUAAGCAUUGCCGCUCUUUAUUUCAUCAUUUUUUUGAGUAACUGAUUCUGAUCCUAUUUCUAUUUCUUCUCAGCGUUUCCUUUUCGCUUCUCUGGCUGUGCUUUUGUUGACAAGGAGGAGGAGGAGUUCGCCGUGGUUUAUUCAUCAAUUAUUUUCAAGGCUUCUGAUAAAGCAGGAUUCAACCACAUGAAUUACAACGAUUGUGUGUACAGCGAAGUGAAAACGUAGAGAACAUGCUCAACUCAAGCUCAAGCUGGCCAGGAAAGGGAACUGUUGGUGAUCUUGAAAGCCAUCCCAUAUCCUUGUUUUUCAUGAGAUACGGUGAGGAGACUUUUCGUCCACAAAGUUGUGAGGGGAAACGUUGAAGCAGCUUCUGUCCAAAGAAUUCCGUACAUCAUAAAAUGCACUUACAUUACAUUUGUUUCUUUAUCUGAUGUCAAAAACAUCCUUUAUGAAAAAAGCAAAGAUUUUGUUUCACAUUGUAUCAGUUUAAAAUAUGUAAUUAAAUAUGUUGGUUUUAUAAAUACGUUAUAUGGUCUUUACAUAAUGCUAAUUUAUUUAAUAAUCUUUUAUAAGCUACUCCCUGCUCUUAUCUCUUAUUCUGCCCUUUCUGUAUGUUCGCGCAAACUGUAAUUUCCCUAUUGUGGGACAAAGAAAGGUUUUCUUAUCUUAUCUUAAUCCAGUUAUAGUCCAGCGGCUCAAAUGUGCUAUUUUCUGUGAUUUACCAUUUGUCUUAUUUGAAAGCUAGUUAUUUUGCAGCUUUAAACUGCUCAGAAGUGAACCUGCAUUACGCUUUCACUUGUUCAUGCUUUAAGUGUUUGCUUCAAUGAGACAUUUAUCGAAAUGUUAACCUUGUAAAUUAUUAAUGGUUAAUGAAAAUUUCAUCAGAAUUUAUAAGAAGCAAAGCUUGUGUCCACAGAUUUCAUUCAGUGUCCUGAUUUGUUGAAAAGAAAAAAAAAAAGAAAGUAAAGAUUUACUGAUUUUACUUUGGUUCUCGUAAAUAGCCCUUGCACAGUUGUAUAGAUCUGCCAAAGUCUGACACGUUGUCAAUAAAAGUAGAGUCAGUUUAUCAACUUGAGUAUGUGGUGGGUUUCUGUAGAUGUUUUGUGCUUCUCUGACACGUUUAUUCUUGCGUUGCAUCACCUCUGUUGGGGAAAAAAGUAUCUA